rnacentral:lncRNA from 1 species
GAUUUCCUUCUGGCUGACAGAAGCACCUCUCUGUUUGGUCUAGUAGCCACUCUAUUCUUUUCUUACUAUCUGUUUCUUAGGUCAAGAAUUGCCAAGAGAAAAAAUUAUGCGCCCCUAGCUAGAGGGGCAUGGCCCAUAAUUGGCCACCUUCACUUGUUGAGAGGACCAAAGCUUCCUCAUUUAACACUUGGAGACAUGGCUGAAAAAUAUGGUCCUAUCUAUGCCAUCCGGUUAGGGGUGCACCCAGCUUUGGUGGUGAGUUCUUGGGAGAUUCUUAAGGAAAUAUUCACAAACCAUGAUGUGGCUGUUGCCUCCCGCCCCAAAAUGACAGCUGCAAAACACUUGGCCUACGACUAUGCCAUGUUUGGGUUCUCACCCAACGGUCCAUACUGGUGUGAAAUGCGCAAAAUAGUCAAUUUAGAGCUACUCUCAAACCAUAGACUCGAGCUGCUCAAGCACGUUCGAGUCUCUGAAGUGGAGACAUCAUUGAAAGAGCUCUACAAACUGUGGACUGAAAAAAGGGAUUCUUCAAACCAUGCUUUAGUUGAAAUGAAACAAUGGUUUGGAGACUUGGCCUUGAAUGUGAUCUUUAGGAUGGUUGCCGGGAAGAGGUAUUUUGGAACUGGUUUAAAGGGUCAUGACAAGGAGGCCAGGCGGUGCCAAAGGGCGCUGAGGGAAUGGUUUCAUUUGUUUGGGGUAUUUGUGUUUAAGGAUGCUGUUCCUUUACUUGGGUUUUUGGAUUUGGGUGGGCAAGAAAAGGCCAUGAAGGAGACUGCCAAAGAAAUGGAUAGUAUUGCUAGUGAAUGGUUAAGGGAACAUAAGCAGAAGAGAGCCUUGGGGGAGGCUAAAGAGCAAGACUUCAUGGAUGUUUUGCUUUCUCUUGUCGAAGCUGAAAGUACUAAUCCAAACCUCUCAGGUUGGGAUGCCGAUACUAUCAACAAAACAACCUGCUUGGUUUGUAUUCUAUCCUCAUCCCUAAAUUUGGUCUACUUUUUGCUUUUUUCUCUAACUGGUAUUGUCCAGUUGACUGUUUGCAAAGAAAUACUUGUGAUGUUUAAUCAAUUGGGAUAAUUAUAUAGUAAUGGCAUGGGAGGUAGAGAAAGUGGUUUUAUUAAGAUGAAAUUACUUCUUUUUCAUUUAUUUUUGGUGAGUUAUGCCAUGAAAAUAGCUUCUUCUUCUUCCUCUUGUCCUUUUCUCUCUUCCUCUUUUUGUUUCAAUAUAACUUAGUAAAUAAGAAAAAGACUGCUCAGUAUCAACUUGUUACUACCAUUGAACCAUAUUAUCUGAAGGAGGCACUUGCACGUGCAGAGUUGCAUCAAGUUCCUGCCUAUGUCUUCCUUUUUCGGCUCAAUGAUCUCCCCAGGCCUCUAGUCAUCCCAUUGAGCAACGGUCCCAGUGGAGGGGCUUGAAAUUGAGGCCCUUGGAAACUUAACUUUGCAUGUACGGGCUCAGUAGCCCAAAAUAACUCUUGGUCUUCGCCUCUUUGGUGUGACAUAGAAUUGAUUGGUCUGAAAUGAUUUUGCUUUGCAGAGUUUGAUUGGCGGAGGUAGUGACACCACCAAGGUCACCUUAAUAUGGGCACUUUCACUAUUGUUAAACAACCGCCAUUGCUUGAAGAAGGUACAAGAAGAGCUAGACAUCCAUGUAGGCAAAGAAAGGCUACUAAUGAUUCAGAUCUUAGCAACUUGAUAUAUCUCCAAGCUGUAGUGAAAGAGACAUUACGCCUGUACCCUCCUGCCCUUCUUUUCCCACGCCUCUGCACUCAGGACAUCGCCCUAAAUGGUUAUGAUGUCUCUAAAGGCACUUGGAUUUUCUUGAAUCUUUGGAAGAUUCAAACCGACCCCCGCGUUUGGUCUGAUCCAUACGAAUUCAAUUCAGAGAGAUUUUUAACAAGCCAUAAGGAUGUUGAUGUGAGGGGACGGCACUUCGAAAUGAUCCCAUUUGGUUGUGGCAGAAGGGUGUGCCCUGGAAUUUCUUUUGGUCUCCAAGUGUUGAACUUGACAUUGGCUGGUUUAUUACAUGGAUUCGACAUCUCCACCCCAUCAAAUGCAAGGGUUGAUAUGACAGAGAGUCCUGGUCUGACGAGUAUCAAAGCCGCCCCUUUUGAAGUUCUCAUCACCCCUCGUCUUUCUGCUAACAUUUAUGGAUGAUUCAGUCAUGCAAUAUAAACAGAGACAGAGACAGAGACAGAGACAGAGGAGGAAUGCAUUUUUACUUAUGUUUCUUUGAUUAUAUCUAUGCAGCUGUCAUGCUUUGGACUUUGGAAGGAGGGUACAUCACCAAAAGAUUUCAUUGCAAAACUGUUUCUGACAAUAAAGAGUCGAUUUUUCUAUUGAGAAAAUAUUGCUGCAUAUUAGUAAUAGAAAUUGAAUGAUAAAAUUGCUAAAAUUAAUUUCCGAUUUAAAAGAAAUUAAAGGUAACUAAAACACUACAGUGGUUUAAUUAACUUUCUUUAAUUGCUUUUAUAUUAUUAGCAUAUAGAAAGAAAAUAGUUGAUACCGUAUUUGAUGUCAAUAUAUAUUUGUUUGAUUGAUUGAGAAGAAAAACUCAUGUAUAAUAAUGAUUAAUUAGAUAAAAUUUAAAGAGAAUCAAAUGAAUAAUGAGGUUUUAACCUAAAAGGAUUGACAAUUUAAUCAUAUUAAUUAUAAGAUUUACAAAAGGGGGCCAAAUCGAAAAGUCUUGGGGGACCAAACUAGAACUUUAUCUUUCUCUUAUAUAAGAAAAAUUACCAAAUAUAUUAUUAAGUUUGACUAUUAAUUUAUUUUUUAUAAUUGAGAAAGUAACAAAAAAUUAAGUAUUUGGGCAUAUUUUCCACACCAUACACUUAAAACAUUUCUAUAGCUGAAAUUAAGACUAUCAAUAAUCGAAUUGCGGUUUAUAAUAUCUAUUUAAUACUAUUAAUUUAUGGGUUAUAAUUGAGAAAGGAAAAAAAGUAACUAGCUGGGCAAUAGUUGUACACACCAUCCACCCCAGAACAUUUUUAUCACUGAAAUUAAGAUUAUCAAUAAUAAAUAUUUUUUUCUUAGCAAUAAAUAAAUUCAAAUGAUUAUUGACCAUGGAAUUACAAAAAUAAAUUAAUUUUGUGCAUAUUUUUUGUGAAGUCGAUGCUUUUACAAAUUCACUUAUCUACAUUGAAUUGAAUUGAAUUGAGAUAUUUUUUGCAUGAUGGUAGGAUGAGAAGAUUACAUGAAUGUUGUUUUCAAUUUAUAGUCGUAAAUUAAUAGACAUGAGAUUUAAUCGCUACCCCUAAAUUCUUUUCCAAAAAAAAUCCCAAGUCUAGCUUUAAUUACUUCACGUUGAUAGUAAUAAAGAACUUGACAUGUGUGACGUUGCUUGGAAAUUUGCUGCCUAAAAUUUAUAUCUAUCGUGCUGCUUGGGGAUGACCUUCAGAUGUAUCCAGUUGCUUGGAAAUUGUUGAGGUGCCCAACCUAAAGUUCUAUCCGGUCAAGGCACGUUAAUUAAUGGUUGCCCGAGGUGUCACGUCGGGUCUGGAGAUAGAAGAACGUGAUACGCGACGAGCUUUCAGGAUCCAAUAAUACAAAGACAUUGAAUCUAGCUCAAUGGAAGUAGAUAAAUAUCAAUGUCCUUAGCAAAUGCUAGCCACAUAUCUUUAGAUACCACACCCAUCUAUACAGACUAAUCAUUUGCUUCUUAAUGGCUUCUCUUCUGCCUCAUCUGAGCACUUUUGUGGCUGGACUAGCGGCGAUCCUUCUCCUUUUCUUCUAUCUCUUACGAUGGUCGAGAGUUACUCAAAGCGAAAAAAGGGCACCCCAAGCUGCAGGUGCAUGGCCCGUAAUUGACCACUUACGAUUGUUAGGAGGACCGCAGCUUCCUCACGUAACAUUGGGAGCGUUGGCCGAAAAAUAUGGUCCUGUCUACUCCAUUCGGAUAGGAAUUCACCCAGGAUUGGUGGUGAGUAGUUAGGAGAUAGCCAAAGAGGUAUACACCAAUUAUGAUGUGGCUGUCACCAAUCGUCCAAGAAUGAUAGCCGCAGAGCACUUGGGUUUCAACUAUGCCAUGGCUGGGGUCGCACCCUAUGGUUCAUACUGGCGUGAAAUGCGUAAAAUAAUCAACUUCGCGCUGCUCUCGAACCGUAGACUCGAAAUACUCAAGCAGCUUCGAGUAUCCGAAGCACAAGUCUCAGUAAAAGAGCUAUACAAAACUUGGUCCAAAAGAAACAAUGGCUUAGGCCAUGUUUUAGUUGAAAUGAAGCAAUGGUUUGGGGACUUGACCUUGAAUGUGAUAGUUAGGAUGGUUGCUGGCAAGAGGUACUUCGGUUCGGGUGCAAAGGGUUAUGACAAAGAGGCCAGACGGUGCCAAAGGGCGAUGAGGGAAUGGUUUCAUUUGUUAGGGGUGUUUGCCUUGAAGGAUGCUGUUCCUUUUCUUGGGUUUCUGGAUUUGGGUGGGCAUGAAAAGGCCGUGAAGGAGACAGCUAAGGAAUUGGAGAGUAUUGCUAGUGAAUGGUUGAAGGAGCAUAAGCAGAAGAGGGCCUCGGGUGGGGCCAAAGAUCAAGACUUCAUGGAUGUUUUGCUUUCUCUCCUCGAGGGUACAAACCUUGCAGCAGAAUUCGAUGUUGACACAAUUAACAAAGCCAACUGUUUGGUAUGCACUUUUCUUUCUUUCUUUUUUGUGUAAGAGCAUUCGGCCCCAAUACAUAGACCCAAAUUAAUUGCAACCUAUAAUCCUUUCCAUUCCCUACACAUACUCUCAAGAAAAAACGUUUGCUUUUUGCAGAGUAUGAUUACAGGAGGAAGUGACACCCCUAAGGUUACUCUAACAUGGAUACUCUCCUUAUUGUUGAACAAUCUUCAUUGGUUGAGAAAAGUUCAGGAAGAGCUAGACAUUCACGUGGGCAAAGAAAGACUAGUGAACGAAUCAGAUCUUAGCAAGUUAGAGUGCCUUCAAGCCGUAGUCAAAGGACAUUACGCCUACAUCCUCCAGUACUUCUCUUCCCACGGUUCUGCACUGAUGAAAUCAUCGUAAGUGGUUAUCAUGUCCCUCGAGACAGCUGGAUAUUCUUAAACCUUUGGAAGAUCCAAACUGAUCCACGGGUCUGGUCGGAUCCUUUAGAAUUCAUGCCAGAAAGAUUCCUGACAACCAAUAAAGAUUUCGAUGUUGGGGGUGAUCAAUACUUUGAGUUGAUCCCAUUUGGUUUUGGUAGAAGGGUUUGCCCUGGAAUGUCUUUUGGCCUUCAGAUGGUACACGUGACGUUGGCUAGCUUGUUGCAGGCGUUCGACAUCUCCACUCCUUCAAAUGCAAUGGUGGAUAUGACUGAAGGAGCUGGACUAUCGAACAUGAAAGCCACCGCACUCGACGUUCUUGUUAGACCUCGCCUUCCUUCUAAAAUUUAUGAAUAAUAAGUAAUUAAAUUGGCUCUGAGCAGUUCUACUUCUAACUAAUAUGCUUCAUAAAAGUUGUACACACAAAUUUCUACUUGAAAUUAUGAUACAAAUAUAAAUAUUUGAUGUGGGUGAUAAUUUUUUCAUUUCGUCUUUAAAAGUCACGAAUUCAGACUUAAUUUUGAUAUGAUCUUCACGAGUUGAAGUUAUGAAUUCAGAUUUAGUCUUGAUCUUCAUGAGUUGAACUAACUUUGGUGGUGUUUGAUCUUGAUGAAUUAUGAGACAAAUAUAAAUAUUUAAAGUGAGUGAUAUUUUUUGAAAAUAUAAAUUUUUGAUUAUGAACUCCAUCGCUUCAAGGAUUUGGGUGACUUGAUCUCGAUCACAUCUUGGUUACUUGAUUCGAACUUCAUUAUCGUUUGAUCUUUACUUCAGAAAUCUUCUACUCUCUUUUUUUUGAAAUGUUCUCAAUCUUCGAAUGUCUCUCAAUCUUCAAAUGCUUCUAAAUAAAUUAAAAUGGCAAAUGCUAAGUGAGAGACUUUGAUGAGAACGUAGUCUCUUCGAAUGCUUCCAAAUAAAUUAUAAUGAUUUAUUGAAAGUUUUUUGAUUGGCUGAACUUUGAGUUUUUGAAUUUUGAUUGGCCGAAGUAAGUUAUUAGCUCUAAAUUAUCUUAAUUUAGUUAGAGAUAAAUUAAAUAAUUAAAUUUGAUUUUAUCUCUAAAUUAACAUAAUUAUUAGAGAUAAAUUAAAUGAUCAAUAAUUAAAUUUUGAUUGGUCAAAAAAAUGAAUAUUAUCUCUAAAUUACUUUGAUUUAUUUAAAGACAAAUUGGAUAAUCAACAACUAAAUUUUGAUUGGUCUAAUUUAAAUAUUAUCUUAAGAGAUAAAUAUAUGACACAUAAGUAAAUUGAUUCAACUAUGUGUUUUUGAAAUAAUUCAACUAAUAAAUUAAUUAUUUUAUAAUUAAUUAUGUGAUUAUGACAUCAUCAAAUUCAUAUGGCAACACGUAAUUGGCACAUAAUUUUUUCUCCUUCUUUAUAAAAAUUGUUCUCUUCCCCUAAUUCGGAUGGUGGAGCAAUUUUUGAUGAAUUCUAAUAGUUUUUUCCCCCAAGUUUUCAUAACAUAAUGUGAAAUAAGUAAAUUAAAAAUGAUAUAAUAUUUUAAAAAAAUUUAAUUUUUUUAUUUUUUAUUAAAUUCAAUCAAUGUCAAUAUUAAUAAAAACAAAUACUCAAAAUAUUAUUUAUUAUUUUUAUUUCAUAUCAAUUAAUAUAACGUAUUAACAUAUUAUAAUAAAUCAUAAUAUUUUAAUUUAAAUAUUAAUGUGAAAAAUGGGACGCUCAUUAUAAUAUGUUAAACAUGUUAAUUAUAAUAUGGCAAACUAUAAGCAGUCAAAAGAGCCAAGGGCGGCCCAAUAAGCUUAAAGGUCUAAAGCGAUUAUCAUAUAUUUUUUAAAUGACUAAUAUAAAUCAUUAAUCAAAAAAUUUAAUUUAAAUAAAUAAAUUAUUACAUAAAAUAAAGAUAAUAUAAUAAUAUCAUAUAAAUUUUAAAUUAAAAUAAAAAAAUCAGUAAAUAUUAGAACAAUAGUACUUAAUUGUUGAAUAUUUAUUACAAAACAUAAAUAAAGCUUAUGGUUUUAUAAAGAUAAUAACAUAACAGACUUCUUAUUUAUUCUUUAAAGGAAAAUUGAUGUUAACAAGAAAAAGGAAGAAAAAGCAUAUGAGAAAAGAAUAAUUCCAAAGUAGAUAUUAUAUAUUGAAAAAAUAUUUGAUUUUAUAUAAAAGAAAAAAAAUAGUUGUUGAAAUUUAUUGAAUAUGUUAAUUGAAAAUAGGAGAAAUAAGUAAAAAAAAAAGUUGUUAGAAAUGAUUAAAUAUAUAUGACUGUUAGUUGAUUGGAAAUAAGAGAAGUAAUUGAGAAUUAAUAGCAUUCUAUAAAUUAAAAACUAAUAAAAAAUUAAAAUUUGUUAAGCACAUAAUUAGAAAAGUGAGAAAAUAGAUAAUUUUAUUAAUUAUUAAUUAUUUUUAUAUACUUUUAAAUUUUUAUAUAUUUUUAAUAUAAUUAAUUAUUUUAUAAAAUUAUAAAAUUUUCUCAAAUUUGGGACCUCUCUAAAUUGAGGGCCUAAAGCCCUUGCUUGGGUAGCUUUACCCAAGGACCGACCUUGAAAAGAGCUUAACAUCAUGAAGAAGAAAGACGAAGAAAAGAAAAAAGUAUUUAAGAGAUCGCUGAUUAAAGUAUGUUUAGAAUUAUAUUUUCAUAAUUUGAAUAUAAAAACUUUAAAUUAUUCGUAUUUCUUUAACUUUUAUUUAAACCUGAUACUCUUUCAAUAAUUUUAAUAAUUUUAAUAAUUUAAUUUUGAGUUACCGAAAUUUCAUAUUUUGAUAAUGUAUUUAAUCAUUUCUUUAAAAAUUUUUAUAGUAUAAAACGAGAUGUUUAAUUUGAUGCUAAUGGCUUGGUUAAGGACACCUCCAAGCCAUCGUAAAGGAAUCACUACGUUUGUAUCCUGCUGGACCACUCUCAGGUGCACGCGAAUUCACUGAAGACUGCACAAUAGGUGGUUACCAUGUGCCCAAAGGCACCCGGCUGAUAGUAAACCUUUGGAAAAUCCAAACAGCACCGCAAUUUUGGUGCGAUCCAUUAGAGUUCAAGCCUGAGAGAUUUAUGACCGGCCACUUGGACGUUGAUGUUAAGGGUCUGCAUUUUGAGCUCAUACCAUUUGGUGCUUGUAGAAGACUGUGCCCGGGGAUAAAUUUUGGCCCGCAAACGACACAUCUGGUGCUGGCCCUCUUGCUCCAUGCUUUCGACAUCUGGACUCCAUCAAAUGAGCCUGUGGACAUGACUGGCAGUCCAGGACUAACAAACAUCAAAGCCACCCCUCUUGAAGUUCUUGUCAAACCACGCUCGUCUCCUAAUCUCUAUCCGUAAUCAUCUUGAUGUGUGAUCCACAGCUACAGCUAUAGCUUUCAUUUCAUUUCAGUAUGAAAUGAGAUAUUUAAUUUGGCAUCAAUAGCUUGGUUAGAGAUUUUUUAUGUUAAGAGAAUUAAAGUCUCAAAAUAAGUUUAUUAAUAUUAAAAAUCUAAAAAUUUAUAUAUUUUUAUAAUGAUUUUUAAAUUUUUAACUUUUAAAAAUUGAAAAUUUUAUGUUUUUUUUAAUCGAAACAAAUUUUAACAUUGUAGUAUGAUAUGUAUACUUCAAUUUGGUCUUGUGAGUAAUAAGGAGGGAAGGAAUAUGGAGCAGGGACUAUUAAGAAAGGAGCAGUGUCAGAUUGGCUGCGGUGUCCCGCGACCCCAGGGUCGCAGAUCCACAUGCAACUCUUCCCUUGGCCCUAUAUUCAUUUUAAAAUUUUGCACUGUUUUUUUCCUCAUGCGCACUUAGUCCAAUAGAUUCAAAAUAGUGAUUUUUUGGGUUAAGAGUUAUAAGUGAUCGAAAUAAGUCAAAUGAUCAUAAAAAUUUAAAAUUUCAAAAUUUAUAAAAAUUUAUUUUUAAUUAUUUUAAAAAUUAUUCUUGACUUAUAUUCAACCUAUUUUGCUAGAAAUUUUAAAAAAUUAAGCAAUUUAAAUUUUAGUAAAUUUUUAUAUAAUAAAUAUUUAUUUGAUAAAUUAUUUUCAAAUUAGCAUAUUUUGAAAAACUUUAUUAAAAAUAUUCAAAUUAAAUUUUAAUUUGUAUUUAAAGCAGAUUCAUCCAACCUCAUAUUGUUAUUGAUUUUGUACUAUAAUCUAUGUGUUUCUAAAUUCUGAAUGUUUUAUAUAUUUAUAAAUUAUUAAAAAAAUUAAAUUGAUUUUCGAUCAGCGAAAGAGGUGGUACACUUUAAAUGUCUUAGAAUGACUAGUAGAGAGCCAUAAUUCCUUUUGAUAAGUUAGCAAUGUUGGUUUCUAAUUCUGAGGAUUUUGAAUUAAUAGGCAUCAAGAGAUUUUUGAUUCUUUAUCCUUUGGAUUCGGUUUAGCGAAUCAGGUAAGUGACUAAUAUCUCUUAAGUGUUUUCAUACCCUAAAAGUUAGCCUCAAUGUGAAUUUGUGCAUGAGAUAUGAUAUUUUAUCUUAUGAUUUAUUAAAAUUGAAUUGAGCAUGUAAAAUGUAUAUGUAUAUGAGUUUUAUAUGUUGGAUUUAGAAUGUGGUUUAUGCAAAGUGUGAUUUCUGAUUUUGAAAUUUGUAUAUGACUUUGUAUAAUGUAUGAAUAUAUGUUUUUCGUGAAUAUAACAUAAAUAUUUAGCUUGAAACAAAUAUACUUUUGAUGUGUAUGAGAUAUGCUUGACAAAAUUGAUAUACAGUUUUAUAAAAUUUGGGUAAUCUAAAAAUAUAUGUUUCUGUUUUGUCUCCUAAUAUGGCUAUGCUCUGACCCUGUUAAUGGAGGUUAAAUGUUGGCCAUGUUGACAUGUAUUUUGUGAUUAAAGAUCGAUCUCCCAAUCGCACCACCGGUUACAUAAUAGUGGUAUUUGUAAUAUCUGUUCAGUACAACCAAUAGUUGCUUUUGAUAUAUUUUUGACCGGUGCCACCGAGGUUAAUUGUGAUUUUAUUUCUGAUCUAUGCCACAGGGAUUAAAUGUGAUCGUAGCAUGUUACAAAAGGCUACUAAAAUUUAAAUAUCUGUAAACCAUGUUUGUUUUGUUAUCUGAAAGUAGAAAUAUUGAAAUAUAUGAUUUUGAAUGAGAUUAUCCAAAAUUUUAUUUUGAUACUUAUAUAUGUAUUAAUAAUUUUGCUCUAAAUGUUUUAAGUAUGCUUAAUCUGACUGAAAAGAUGUUAGUUACUAACUGAGUAGUUAUACUCAUUCUUAUAAUCCUUAUCAUUUUUACAGAUUUCAACACGUAUUCAUGCGUGGGGAUUAGAUUUGUUAGAUGAGAGCUUUUGUUAGCAAGAUUAGUACAUGUCUUUUGACAUUUAUAAGUUUUGAUGUAAGUUUUUGGUUUUUAGUUUGUAAAGAGAUGAUAACUAGUUGUGAAAUUUGUACCUUUUGGAAGAUUAUAUAUAUUGUAUUAUUUGAAGAUUUGAGGUUUAGUAAAGUCUAAAAAUUUAAAGAGAUUUUGGAGUAAUUGUAUUUAGUUUAGUAAGAUGUGGUUGCCUUACAUGCUUAUGAGAUUCAUCUCAUGAGUAUGUGGUGUCUGUUAGUUUCAAAAACUUUGGGUAUCGGGCGUGACAAAAAUACUAUGAAAAUUUGGAAAACGAUAUCUGGCGUGGAGGCAACAUAAUUUAUUGAUUAUCAAUAGUUUUAUGUAGCUCCUUAAUCUUUAACUAAUGAUCAUGAGAAUUCUAAAUCUGGUUUUUUUAUUAUUUAGUAGCUAAAUCUGGACCGCAUAAUUAAAUGAGUUAAAUAUAAACAUUUUUUAUAUGACAAAUUUGUUGGGCCGAGGCCAAGCAGAAAGAGAUAAACCUCAUCGGAAUCAACUAUAUUUGACCUGAAAGCCAAUACGCAAGAGACUAGAAAAUUUGCUUCCAUGGAUUUCCUUCUGGCUGACAGAAGCACCUGUGUAUUUGGUCUAGUAGCCAUUCUAUUCUUUUCUUACUAUCUGUUUCUUAGGUCAAGAAUUGCCAAGAGCAAAAAUUAUGCGCCCAUAGCUAGAGGGGCAAUGCCCAUAAUUGGCCACCUUCCAUUGUUGAGAGGACCAAAGCUUCCUCAUUUAACACUUGGAGACAUGGCUGAAAAAUAUGGUCCUAUCUAUGCCAUCCGGUUAGGGGUGCAUCCAGCUUUGGUGGUGAGUUCUUGGGAGAUUCUUAAGGAAAUAUUCACAAACCAU